CGCAGCCCAAACCCUAUCUUAGAUCCCCCGUCUCCUCGCCGCCGCCGCCCCCUCCCGAUCUAGUCCUCCCUCCCACCGCCGACCUCAAGCAAGGACGACGGAGAUCCAAUCCUCUCCCCACGCGGCAACCCUUCCUCCUACCCACCGCUGACCUCGCCGUCCUCCUCACCCAUCGCCCACCUCGUCCCUCCGUCCCCUCACCAUCUCUCCCUACCCUCCGCCCUCUGCCCCCGCACCCCAUACUGUCCACCAUGGCCGUCUCCCCCUCCUCCUUGCUCUGGAUCCCUGCACCAACCCACCACCCCGCCAUGGGGGCAUGUCCGUGGUGGCUACCCUUCCAUGCCGUCUCCCCGUAGUAGGCAUCGGCACCGGGCGACGGUGACGACACCAACGGGCCCACCGGCGUGCCCGUGCCCUUCUCCCGUGCGGGCGGCUGUUCCGGCGAGGGUCGACGCCGCAGGCGGUGCGUGAGGAGGUGGACGACUUCCUCGGCAGCAGCAAGUGCGCCUUCAAGUAAGAGGUCGACGUCUGCAUCCGCCGCCUCCAGCGCCAGGAGCUCUACCUCAAGGCAGGAGCCGGAGGCGCAGCCACGCAAGGUUGAGCCGGCCAUGGAGAUCCUCUUCCUCUACAGCUACGACAACUGCGGCAAGACCUUCGUCGAUGUGGCUGCCUUGAGGAAGCAUUCCCACAUGCAUGGCGGAUGGCAGUAUGUUUGCGAGGAGCCCGGCUGUGGGAAAGUGUCUCUAGUAAAAGAUUACUUUAUGCGUUUACCAGUGCCUACUCUAGCGUUGGUGAACUUAUCCACUUACUACUGUUGGUGAACUUCCAUUUGUUUUCAUGCUCAGAUGCGAAAUAGAUUUAAGCUCCUUAUCUUUCAUAUUAUCCACAAGGACCUUCCUAUGCUGUGCUUAGUUAUUCCUGGAGUUACGGCCCAAUAGAUUUGUUUUAGUACAACUAUACAUGUAAGACGUUUGGUUAUGUCCUAAAUUGAUAAAAUGAAAAAACUAUCAUAUGUGUCCUUGCUGCUGAUGGGAGAAUGUAAUUCCUAACUACGUGACUGUUCUUUUUGUACAGAAAUGAUGAAUCCUUUUUCUGUUUGUUUUGCAGAAAUUUGUAGAUAGCUCAAAGUUGAACAACUCCCUCAAUGAUGAAUCCCUUCUCUUCUUCUGGUUUCCUUCAUCCCCGCAUCUGAUUCCUGCGUGCGUGUGGUCUCUGCAGUUUGCUCCCUCGAUCUGCUAUGGUCUACUUCAGCUCGUGUGAAUAGCCUUUGAACUCCUAGGAGAUUUUAACACAAAUUGUAAAAGAUGCUGCCCUGCUAAAGGAGGAUGAGGAUGAGGGGCGCACCUAGCCAUUAGCCCUGCUCUGCUCAAGGAGGAGGGGCAUGAGAGGCCUUCUCCUAUUCCCCUAGUGUGACCAAGAGGUCCUGCCCGAGAUCAUGCACGGCCAUGAUGACCCACCACGGCAGCCACAUCUCUGGGUACAAGAACCAGUUCCAGAACUUCAUCAAGCACCUGCGCGAAAUGGGUGAUGAGGUGAAGGUUUUCAAUUGUUGAAGGAGGAGGACAAUAGGAACUUCUAUGAUGUCUUGUCAUCUAUUUUUUUUCUUUGCUGUAGAAUAGUUUUGCUUGGCACUUACUGGUUCCUUGGAUGUAAAGAUAUGUACUGCUAGAAUGAAUGCAUGUAAAGAUAUUUUGGGCUCCUAUAAUAUUCCAUGUUGCUUUGAAAAUGUAUUGGAACUGGGCUAGGCCCAAGAUAGCUUGUAGUGUGAUGUGUUGUAAUGCCAAUGGCAUAAUAAAAGAAGUUGGAUUGGAUCAA